AUCGCUUCUCGGCCUUUUGGCUAAGAUCAAGUGUAGAAAACCAGAACUUACCGCUCCUGUUUAAAAGCAAAUUCAGGAAACUAUUUGAUAUUCACAUAGAUGAUGGGAAGCUGGCCAUGGGGUUCUAGAAUUCUUUGUAGAGAUCUGGAUUUUUCUUUACUGUCCUGUUCACUUACAUUUA
rnacentral:snRNA from 1 species